rnacentral:lncRNA from 1 species
AAGUGCACCCUAGGGUCAGCUGUUUGGCUCCUCUCUUCUGCUUGCACGAGUGACGACUGUUCCAGUGAUGUAAGCGAGCCCGAUGCCGGGAGGGCCUCUUUUGUAAGCCACCUCUAGGAAUCUGGAUCAAAGAAUACGGCGGCCAUCGUCCUGCGGAGCAAAUUAGUGGCUGCUUCCUUCCUUCUAAUGGUACUUUGGUGGUGAAAGUGAAAGAAAGUGAAGUCGCUCAGUCGUGUCCAACUCUUUGCGACCCCAUGGACUGUAGCCCACCAAACUCCUCAUUCCAUGGAAUUCUCCAGGCAAGAAUACUGAAGUGGGUUGUCAUUUCCUUCUCCAGGGGAUCUUCCCGACCCAGGAAUCAAACCCAGGUCUCCUGCAUUGUAGGCAGAUUCUUUACCAACUGAGCUAUCUGGUGGUGGGUUCUGCCAAAUCAGUUACUGUAGGCUUUCCAUCUUUUGAAUUAUUGCUCACAUCUCCUUCCUUCUAAGAGUUUUGCUUUUUCUAAGGGUUUUGUGGCAUGGGG